rnacentral:rRNA from 1 species
UAGGGAAUCUUCGGCAAUGGACGAAAGUCUGACCGAGCAACGCCGCGUGAGUGAAGAAGGUUUUCGGAUCGUAAAACUCUGUUGGUAGAGAAGAACGUUGUGAGNGUGGAAAGCUCAUCAAGUGACGGUAACUACCCAGAAAGGGACGGCUAACUACGUGCC